AGGAGAAGGAGCACAAGGAGCUGAAGAAGGAGAACCUUGAUCCACUGGCACAGGAUGAAGAUGUCCGGUCAGAUGCUCUGCUGAUUCCUGCCUUGAGAUUCUGUGGUCAGCUUGCUAGCUGGACUGGAAACUCUACCACUAACCAGGGAGAAGUAGGAUCAGUGCCACAAUAAUCUUUGAGGCCCUGACUGGAGAGAGAUCCUCAUCCCAUGUGGAGUUGCACAAUGAGG